AUGAUUUCUUUAGAAGACGGCUGCACCCCUCCUCUUGUAAAUCAAUGGAUCGAGCUGGGAGAGGUGGUGAAGUCCUGGCCAGUGUCAACGGAACCUGACCAGGUUUGCUGGGCACUUGGUAAUAAGAAAAAAUUGUCUACUAAAUCAGUCUAUGUCUACCUGGAGAGGCAGUUGGCAGGAUGUGACUACAGGUGGAUCUGGAAAGCUAAGAUACCCCUGAAAAUUCAGAUUUUCCUUUGGCAAUUGUUUCAAGAUGCCAUUCUAACUAGAGAGUUGUCCCGUGGCUCGGGUAAUCUGGAGGACGGCUUGAUGACUGGUGCUGAUCGGGAGGCAAUGGAGCAUGGUGCCAAGAUGCUCAAGUCGAACGCUUCUGCAAUGAUGAGGAUUUGUGCAGCUCCAGCCAAGGCGACGAUGGAUUGA
rnacentral:rRNA from 1 species